UCAAGGAUUGACCUUGGAGUUCUUACAUCACAGUGAGCCUAUCAAUGGCAGCUCCCAUGGGACGUUGUUGAAGUCACAGUAGGCGAUGAUGUGGGCCUAAGUCACAGCACAGACGCUCUGAUCCUCAGAUACCUAGGUUCCUGUGAAGAGAUGAUGAUGAACCUAACACUAGUCAUUGUCUGCGGACAUUUCUGUUACCCAGGAAGGUGAUGAGGUUCACCUUCACCAUUUCAAAUCAUCGGAUUUUCACAUACCAGGUUCCUGUGAAGAAAACAGGGUGAACUGAAAAUGGUUUUUAACACAACCUUGCUAGGAACCAGGUGAGCGUUAAUGGUGAAUCCUACUACAAUAAAGACCAUCUGAACUUGAGUAUGUAGGUAAGUGAGGAUGAUGUCCUUAACAUCCGUGUAAAUG